rnacentral:rRNA from 1 species
AGCCCAGACUCCUACGGGAGGCAGCAGUGGGGGAUAUUGCACAAUGGGGGAAACCCUGAUGCAGCGACGCCGCGUGAGUGAAGAAGUAAUUCGUUACGUAAAGCUCUAUCAGCAGGGAAGAAAAUGACGGUACCUGACUAAGAAGCCCCGGCUAACUACGUGCCAGCAGCCGCGGUAAUACGUAGGGGGCAAGCGUUAUCCGGAUUUACUGGGUGUAAAGGGAGCGUAGACGGCGAUGCAAGCCAGAUGUGAAAGCCCGUGGCUCAACCCCGGGACUGCAUUUGGAACUGUGUGGCUGGAGUGUCGGAGAGGCAGGCGGAAUUCCUAGUGUAGCGGUGAAAUGCGUAGAUAUUAGGAGGAACACCAGUGGCGAAGGCGGCCUGCUGGACGAUGACUGACGUUGAGGCUCGAAAGCGUGGGGAGCAAACAGGAUUAGAUACCCUUGUAUGG